AGAUAGAUAAUCAGUCUUGAAGCAAAGGUGAUAUAACUGGUCUGCAGUUGUUGAUGACAAGAAGAAUCCCAAACUUUUGACUUAUCCUUGCUUCCUCGUAAGGCUUCCGCAAUCGAAAUGGGACUUUUUCAGCCGCAACCGUGAUAGAUUCUUUGCUUUUAUCGCUUCACCUAAACAACGAGCGAGGAUAACUCCAUCUUCCAUGGCUGAGCAACCCCCUUGUCCGAUAUCAGGAGUCAUUGGGUGAAGUGCAUCCCCUGCAACGCACACAUUGUCUUUUGUGAUGUUUGACCAUAGCAGUUCCCAUGGAGGUCGGUACUUCAGUCGAGACAUCACCAUGCUAUCAAGAUCCGUGGUCUCCACCACAUUCUUAAUGUUUUCAGGCAAUUCUUUGAUCUUGUUCAGCACAAACUCUUUGAGGAUUGCCGGAUUUGUCUCCUCAUCUAACAAGCGCAAGGAGAAGAGUCAAAAACAGUAGUUUGAUUAUGAACAAGAAGCUGCUUGUAGAUAGAUAUCAUAUCAGGUAAAGUUGCAUAUAUUUACCUAUAUCAGUGGAGGUGUGGGUUAGGAACCAGUAGACCGUGUUGUGGUCACAGGUGACAAAACCCGAACGAACACCGUCUCCAUAAAACUGGAAGAACUUUUUCCCAAAUCCGUGGCCUUCCGGGAAAUGUGUGAGCCCUCGGAUUGCUAACCGGGCAGUUGUAGCCAGAUUUUUGAAGCCUAGCCACUUACCAACUACUGAGUACACUCCAUCGCACCCUACCAAAACCUGAAUGUCGUUUAGAAACCCUACAAUUCCGUAGCAAGACCAGGCCUCACAUGGUUUACAGAAAACAAGUAGUUACUACCUUGGUUUUGAGAAUGGUCCCGUCGGAGAGAUGAACCAUCUUGUAGCGUCCAGACAGAUCGAUAUGAACAACUUUAGACGAAUACCUUAUGGUCUCUUCAGGUAACUCACCUGCUAGAGCCUCUAACAACAGUUUCCUAUAGAAGAAGAAACAUACUCGGAUUCUGGAAACAGCAUCUCUUUAGAAGGAUUUCCUGCAGAAAUUGGUCCAACCACCCAUCUGCAUCAAGAUCAAAGAUGAUGAGUUCUCUAGUAUACAGAGCUGAUUAUGAAUAGUAAUAAUAGUGUUAGUUUGAUACCCUUGAAGGCGAUCAUGGAGAGUGCGAAUAUGUUGAGCAACGUCGAGAGCUUCCAUGGCCUUCCAAGCAUUGAAAUAAGUCGUAAGAGCAAACCCUGUCGCUCUCAGUUUCUCUGAAGAUUCCAGCACCAUGCUUUUGAUCCCAAGCCUGUGCCACAGACACACACACCACUUUUGUUAACUUACUCUGCUUCAUAACAACUCAAAAGGCGUACAUACACACACACCUGUGUAGUCCAACAGCGGUGGAAAGCCCGGAGAUUCCGGCGCCGACGAUGAUGAUGCCUGGAGUGCCUUCUUCUUCCAUGGUGCGUUGAUGAUCUUAGAAAGAAAGCUCUGUUUUUUCUUCCUCACUUAUAUAUUUAUUUUUAAGUAAACCAAAAAAUGCGGUGGAAAAUGGCAAGUCAGACACGGCACCCUGUCUAAGGCAAGCGGCAACAGUAAUCAAAUAUCGAAUCUUUUAUAGUAUCUUUUAAGCAGUUAUUUAUAUAUUGUCACACUUUAUCCUGUUCUAGCUAGGGAGUAAAUAAUUUUACAUUCUAAA